rnacentral:pre_miRNA from 1 species
ACAACAUUCGGAGCGUCGGUCUACCGAGCAAAUAUCACUCGCUGGAAAAUCUUCCUUUCGUCGU